rnacentral:misc_RNA from 1 species
GGGCAUGGUUUGGAAAGUUUAGUACUUUUGUCCAACAAUUUGGGAUGACUCAAAGUGGAGUUGAUCAUUUGGUAUUUUAUCAUCAUACUGAUCAUGGUAAGACCAUCUAUUUCGUGGUUUAGGUCAAUGAUAUUGUUAUCAUAGGUAGUCAUCGUGAUGGAAUUACUCAAUUAAAACAACACCUUUCCAAUUACUUUAAAAUCAAAGACUUGGGUAAAUUGCAAUAUUUUAUGGAAAUUAAAAUUGCACAGUCUAGAUAAAGACAAGUGUCACUCAAAAUUUAUUGGAUAUUCAGACGCAAAAUGGAUUGGUUCUCCUUUAGACAAACAGUUUACUUCAAGAUAUUGUGUCUUAUUCAGAGGAAAAUUAAUACCUUAGAAAAGUAGGAAGCAAGAUGCAGUUGCUAGGUCAAGUGUAAAAGCAGAAUUAUUGGUUGGAACAACUUCUUUAAGAAUUGAAACAUGGGGAUAUCAAACAUACGAAGUUGAUUUGUGAUAAUCAAGUAGCAUUACAUAUCACUUCUAGUCCAGUUUUUCAUGAAAGGACAAAACACAUAGAGGUGGAUUGUCA